GUACUCCUACGGGGCGCAGCAGUGGGGAAUAUUGGGCAAUGGGCGCAAGCCUGACCCAGCAACGCCGCGUGAAGGAAGAAGGCUUUCGGGUUGUAAACUUCUUUUCUCAGGGACGAAGAAAGUGACGGUACCUGGGGAGGAAGCUCCGGCUAACUACGUGCCAGCAGCCGCGGUAAUACGUAGGGAGCGAGCGUUGUCCGGAAUUACUGGGUGUAAAGGGAGCGUAGGCGGGGAUGCAAGUUGGGUGUCAAAACUACCGGCUCAACUGGUAGUCGCACUCAAAACUGCAGCUCUUGAGUGAAGUA
rnacentral:rRNA from 1 species